AGAUGACUACUGCAAGGGCCAGGAACAGUCAGUGCUUAGGGGAGCAGCCUUUGAGAAACACUGAGGAGCUUCCCAGGAUUUUCCUAGGAGAACCAUGUCUCUCUCUGUUCAGAGGAUAUGUGAUUACUACAAACUUCAGCAAAGAUUGUUUCUUCACAAGUACUGCUGGCCAGGUUGCAAUCUCCCUUCUAAAAACUGUGCUUUUCCUAUGCUGGUUGUCACUUCUCUGUGGCACAUCUUGCCCUGGAGUGGAAGAAGGAAUUGAUUCAUCGAUGUUGGUGGACAUCCAGGAUCUUGGAAAAGUGACUGUUCUCUAUUAUAUUUUAAUAAAACUACAUAAUAACGGACUGGGUUGGAAGGGAACUGAAAACCCAUCCAAUCCAUGCCCCUGCCAUGGGCAGGGACAUUUUUCACUGUCCCAGGUUGCUCCAAGCCCUGUCCAUUCUGGCCUUGGACACAUCCAGGGAUCCAGGGGCAGCCACAGCUUCUCUGGGCACCUGUGCCAGGGCCUGCCCACCCUCACAGGGAACAAUUCCUUCCCAAAAUCCCAUCCAUCCCUGCUCUCUGUCAGUGUGAAUGCACUCCCCCCUUGUCCUGUCACUAUGUGCUUUUGUAAAUAAUCUUCCUCCAUCUUUCUCCUUGCUCUGGCACUUCCAUCCCCUGUUCUGCAUAUUCAAAAUAUUCUGGUCACACACAUAUUUUUGCUGGGAAGAAAAUCUGUAGGUACCAGUGAGUAUCACUCCUGCUUUUUCUAGUGGUGCUGUGUAUGGCUUCUGUGGGCACUGUUGCACGUCAUAACAAAACCAUCUUUGUCUCUCUCCUCCUGGGAAUAUAAAUUCUUGGCAGCAGAAUGCUUAUUCCAUGUCUCUGUGCAGUGGGACUGGGAGCCCAGGAAGGGUUGUAAGGCUGAUGUGUUCAGCACAAAGCCCAGGUUAGUGUGUCUCAGGAAACAAGUGGCAGAAAUGAAGCUUGUUGCCAUUAUUUCUUGGUUUAAGGAAACUUGAAGGCUUCUCUUUGCUGCCACGUGCUGGAAAUGAGAACUGCUGAGCUCUCCCAGGGGAAAAGUGUCUGAGGACAAAUUUUUUCUGUGAGAUUGACAAAGCAGAGUUAAAGUCAGCUCUGCCCAUUAGGCCUCCAAUUGUCUGAGAGAUUCCACAAACCAGAGUUAAAUGCCUGAGCUGCUGCU